UUCCCAUGCCAGGAAUCGAACCCGGGCCUCCUGGGUGAGAACCAGGUAUCCUAACUUUUAGACCAUGUGGGA